rnacentral:tRNA from 1 species
GCGCGAGUGGCGGAAUUGGCAGACGCGCUGGAUUUAGGUUCCAGUGACUCCGGUCGUGGGGGUUCAAGUCCCCCCUCGCGCA